CGCUUCCUUCUCAACCACCUGCACAGAAACACACAGUCCUGGUACCUGUACUCAUAAAAAAAAUAUAUAACAGUGUUUAAACACAGUAUACAGAUGACCCAUAAUGCAUUUUGAGAUUGGUAGGAAAUAAACACCAAUAGAGUACAAAUGAAGAACUCUUAACUCCAAAUGUUAAAAGCCAAAUAUGUUUGGAUGAUUUCUACAUAUUGAGGAAUGAGAAGAGCAAAAUCCUGUACACAAUGUUGGUGCAGGUAGCUGCUACUCUCCAUCUCGAGCUUCUUCAUCUCCUCCAGCUGUCGCUCCUUCAGCUGCUGCUGCUGCUUCUUCUGCAGCCAGAGGUUAAACGCUUCCUCUGCAUCACAGCACUCCCUCUGUGCACAUCCAGAGACAUGGAUACACAUGCUGCAGCGUUAACUAAUCACACACACACAAACACACACACACACACACACACACACUCCACACAAUAAAAUAUAAUCUAUAAAUGUGCCAGAACUUUCUACUGCACAUCUGUUUGUUGUGAAUAUGCUCCUGAUAUGCACCUUUCCGCUCAUCCUCUCCAUCUCCUGAGCUCUCUGCACUCUCCUCUCCUGCCGCAGCUGCUGCCUCUUCUUCAUCAUCCACGACCUGAACGCCAGCUCGUUCUCCUGACGCUUCUGCUCCUCCUCCUCAAGUCUCCGCUCUUCCUCCUGAGAAGAAAAAAAAGAGCUCUUUCUGCUGCGGCGAGAGGGAAAAGGUGGCAUGAGAUGAAACCCCGCUGGCCGACUGAACCCUACGCUUGCUGCCGUAUCUAUACACUGCCCUCUGCGUGUUGCUCGCUGAAUUGGGACGCGACCGGGGUCGUGCUGGAGGCCUGGGCGCAUAGCGAGGCUCGGAUGAGGCUGAAGAACCCGAGCUGGAGAGCAGUUUCGGGGAGGAGGACGGACUCUUGCCGGGUUCUCGUUGAGUCUCGGGGAGAGGCGGGAGCAAUCCUGGACUCUCCAUUUCUUUCAGACUCACUAGAUCAAACUUCCCGUCCUUCUCCACCAGCACUCGUCCUUCUCUCGCGCCGUCUCUGCGUGCGUCUCCUCCGCCACUUUCCUCCCGAGAGGAGAUCUUCAACUUCAGCAUGUGGCCCGAGACGUCUGCCGGACUGUCCUCCAGGUCGCUGGCGGGAACCACCAGGUCCACGAGGGUGUCUUUGAAGUGCAGACGGCGGCGACGUGUCUCGUCCGGCGCCUCCUGGUCCUUCAGCUGCCUGUUCGCCUGCUCGAUCUUCUGCUGGAUGAAUUUCUUCUCUUCUUCCACCUGUUCUUCAUCCUGCUCAUGUUUAGAAUCGCCGUCGACGUCGAACGCAUCCUCCAAAGGGUCCAUGGGCGUCGGCCAUCUUUCGUUAUCUCCAUCGUCGUCCGUGCAAAUUUUGCUCCGCCCUUCGUCAAGUUCCUUCCGUCGUUCCUCAUCUUCCAGCUCGUGGUCUAGCUGGGCUUCAAUGUCCUCGUCAUCCUGUUUUGGAAAAAGCAGGAUCGGUUACGCGCAGGACGGAAUGCGACCAUCUAAAACGGCGAGGUGUGUGCCAAUAAUCAGAUUUAUGAUACAUUGCGAUAUCUAUAAUUAAAUCCACAAUACUGUUAUUGGAAUUGUAUUGGGAAGUCAGCAAAUAAAGUCUGUCCCAUUCUUUUU